AUGGUGGUCAGAGCUGCACUGCUCCCUGUAACCUUGCUGCUGUGCCUUGCACUGCCCGGCAGCGCCGACGCCAGAAGGACGGCGGACGGUUUCUAUGAGCUCAAGAACAAGAAGGGGGACUUCUCCAUCAAGGUCACCAACUGGGGAGCUACCCUCGUAUCUGUCCUCGUCCCUGAUUGCCAUGGGGACUUGACCGAUGUUGUACUUGGGUACGACACUGUUGCUGCAUACGCUAAAGGCGCUGCUGCCGGAUCGACUAUUGGGCGCGUAGCAAACAGAAUCGCCAACGCCCGCUUCGUGCUCGACGGCAGAACCUAUCGUCUCCUCCAUAACGACGGCAACAACACGAUUCAUGGCGGCCCCAGGGGCUUCAACAAGGUCAUCUGGACGGUGAAGGAGUACGUGCACGACGGCGACUCCCCGUACAUCACCUUCUACUACGGCAGCUUCGACGGAGAGCAAGGGUUCCCGGGGUACCUGGACGUGUAUGUGACGUACCGGCUCUCCGACCCGUACGACCUGAGCAUCAACAUGAACGCGACGGCGACGAGCAAGGCGACGCCGGUGAACCUUGUGAACCACGCGUACUGGAACCUCGCUGGCCACGGCAGCGGCGACGUCCUGGAGCACGAGCUCCAGAUGUUCGCCUCACGCUACACGCCCGUCGACGGGUACAUGAUCCCGACGGGCCAGGUCGCGCCCGUGGCCGGCACAAAGUACGACUUCCUCACGCCGACGCCCGUGGGAGCCAACAUGGAGAUCGUCCCGGGCGGCGGCGGCGGGUACGACAUCAACUUCGCCGUGGACGGGCAGCAGGACGCGAUGCGGCCGGUGGCGCGCGUCCAGGACCCGGACUCCGGCCGGGCGUUGGAGCUGUGGGCGAACCAGCCCGGGGUGCAGCUCUACACCGCCAACUGGCUCAGCAACGACAAGGGGAAAGGAGGGAAGGUGUACGGGCAGUACGGCGCGCUGUGCCUGGAGACGCAGGCGUACCCCGACGCCGUCAACCACCCUGAGUUCCCGUCGUCGAUCGUCAGGCCCGGCGAGGUGUACAAGCAUGAUAUGGUCUUCAAGUUUUCCCACUAG
rnacentral:rRNA from 1 species